CAGCGGCCUUCCCUUCGGUGUAAACCUGCUCUUGUCGCAACAAAACAGGGCUAUUGUGGCAACGCUAAUCUGGGGAUUUUGAUUCUUCUGUCGCAUGAUCAGCAAAUGACCCCCACUUGGACGCCUGUGGUUCUUUGGACCCCACUUGGAAUUGUAGCUGUCAUGUCACCAUCCAGUUUGUUGUGAGCGACGACCGCUAUCUAGUGGCUCUCAUGAGGUCCUUUGUGAUGUUUUCCUCAAGAGCAUCAAGGCAAACCGUAGAAGGACCCCGGAGUCCGAGGGUUCAAAGUUCACGCUCGGGAGGAAAAACUGUUCUGACGUGCCAUUUGUAAUGACUACCAGUCUGGCCUACUUGUUAUGUGAGGUAAAGGACAAGAAAAGCUGGCACAGAGGAUCCUCGGUUCAAUCUGAUGAAACUAUAAAAGGAAUGUUUCUGUUUAAAAUGAUUUCUCGUGGACUGGUGUUGACACACCAUGACUUCAGUCAGACGUGGAGGGAGGAGUUGAUGUUUCAAUCUGCUUGAAGUUUAAAACAACAACGGUGUCCUAAGGAAAAGCAGGUGGGAAGUGCAGCGAAAUUGAGGACUUGAGCUCUGCUGCCUCCUCGCGGUUAUCAAUGGAAGCUCAACGGCGCACACUCCAGUUCGACUCAGAAUGUGUCAUUGGAGAAAAAAAGUUUGUCAACAACUGGGGAUGGCUGAUGGUGUAGUAAUAUUUAACAUAUUCAUUUAAUACAGCGAAAAUCUACAUUCAUGUAACAUUUCAGUAUGCUACGCAGUGGUAGUAUUAAUUUAAAAACCAUUUUAAAUGAGUUGUUUUUAUGAGAGAUUCCGACAUUUAUUCGGAGCUAUGACAAUGACAUGGGGGUUGCUAAAUUGUAUUGGCCCUACCCACCUACCAAAGCUUAGACCAAACCUACGCCUUUGGUUUUGAGUGAGUAUUGCAAACAUUUCCAAGCGGUUGUUUGUCGUUUUACAUGUAAAUAUGCAGGAGCAUCAUUACGACACGAGCUCCUUGAGUUUGUUUGUACCUCGCGAGCUACCGUAUAUCAACAAAGGUGGCUUGUCAGCGAGCACGCCCACAACUGGCACUCGGCUGUCGAUCAAACUUUAAUCAAGGAAACCGUUUUGUUGCUUUGUUAUGUUUUCCACGCAUAAGCUGAUGUUCAAACUGCAAGAGUGGAGGCUCCACGUCGGCUCCUGGUCGUCUACCUGCACAUCUCGACGCCAACAUAUUUUCGAAAGGAUAUAGUGAAGGUUUGGGCCCCAAAGGUGCUGCUGACAGCCUUGUGGGACAUGCGCAGCGGAAGGGACAUGAACCUGCAACUGGACCAUGAUAGUAAACAUUCAAUCGCAACAAAGUAACAAGUCUGAUCGCAGUCUGCUUGUUGCCGAGUGGCGGAGUGGCCGGCCAGUGGGACGAGUGGACGGCCAGUGGGACGAGUGGACGGCCAGUGGGACGAGUGGCGGAGUGGACGGCCAGCGGGACGAGUGGCGGAGUGGACGGCCAGCGGGACGAGUGGCGGAGUGGACGGCCAGCGGGACCUAAGACAAAAAGAUCUGUUACCUUUGAUAUAAGGAAGUACCAAGAAAAAGCAAAGUGUUUCUGGCAUGUAGCUUUCCUCUGCUCCAUUGCUUCCACUGUGAGCAGGUACUUCAUGGUGCUCCUCCCCUGGACACAAAAAACCUUUGGAACAUGGUAUGAAAUUUACUUCCUUCUCUUACCAGCAGAGGGCUCUUCAGGCAGCAAGUAGAGACCUGGUACACAUGUAAAAAAGUUAACUUAAAGCUUUCGGCAAGUAGCUUACCAUGAAUGGUUGUUUUCACCUGUAGGUCCUAUGAAGAAAAGGAACAGACAACUCAUUUUUAGUUUACUUUAUUUAUUUUUCUAACUGUAGACUGAAACCCUCCGCUGAAGACUUUUGUCAUUUGUGCACUUGAAUCUGAGACGAGUAACAGCACGUGGAUCUCCUGAAAUGUUGCAGACUCCUCAACGAACAUCUGCAUACACACAGGGGAACAGUCAAGGCAAGUCUCAACACUGAAAAUGGAUACAGCCUAGAGGACCUUCGGCACAGUUUUGCAGAAUUUAUUGGCCUAGCAGGUGGAGGGUCUUUUUCCUACUCAACGCUGCACUCUUAGGGGAUAGUGUUAACAUGCCAAAUUUUUGCCCAAGUUUUGUCACCUGUCAGCAUGUAGGACAGGAAGUCGAUUAGGACGCCUCAUUUCUUGACAGCUUGCACCCGCGCCACCUGAAACAAAACAAAAAACGUGUCAAGCCCUUUGAUUUGUCGAGUUUGUCAUUGCAACAGGUUCAAACCUAGAGCUUUUACUUCAGUCAAUUCAUGUAGCAGGUACCAGGUCCUUUGGCACCAUCUAGUGGGCAAAACGGGGCGAAAACGCACAAAUUGAAAUAAAUUGGACAAACAAUUGUUCAUCUAUUAAAGUGUGCAUGUGUGUUUCACCAAUGAAGAAUGCAGGUGCAGCUCUGGACUUCUCUCCAACCGCAAUUUGUUGGCCUGAAAGACACAGUAACGUUACAACCCAUCUUGUGGUAAAUGUUCUGUCAUACGCGAUGGUUUGAUAGACAUGGUCAACAAGAGUAGACCUGCAAACGUCUCAAAUCCAGGGCUCACAGGACAGCAAGUCGGCCAUUUUGAAACCUGCAGACAAAAAAUAAAAUUAAAACUUGAUUUAGUUAAAUGGAUGUGCAAAUUAAAACGUUAAUUUUG